GCCGCGUCUUUAUCAAAGUUGGUUCUUGAUUCUAUGUCUUUAUUCUAUGAGCCGCGUUUUCUUCCUCCAUGCCAAAGGACUUCUGAAUGCACGCAAGUGCGAGCGCUAAGUCUCCGUUUGAACAUCUGGGCCUUGUUUAUCCAUCUUGCAGACGUUAACGCAAGAAACAAAGAUGUUCUCCAGCAUAUGCUGCGUCUCCUCAACACUAUACGCUUAAUGCUUCAGCAACAAGCAGAGAGUAUCAACAAACUUAGUGAAAUGCUACCAUCCCCAGCAGUCACAACAUGCGCACCACUAGUCAACUGUUCAACUGCCUGCAAGAGCUGCUUGAUUUUGACACAAAGCUGACACAGGAAACCACCAGUACUUUGGUUCGUGAAUUUGUGCAGCUUGGCGGCAAAGACGCAAACUGGGCGACGAAAAGAAUUCUUGGAUACUGUUUGACGAGCUUGCUGCACAAUUUUCUUGGCUUGGUUGGAAGGGGAAGCAUAGCUCUUCAGCCCUAAAUACUGCCAAAGCAGUAGCAGAUUCCAACUGAGUGAAGGGGCUUGCCCAACUCUAGCUCCAUCUCCCACUCCGAGAAAGCCUCUACAGGGUGCCGCUUUAGUUUGGUUCCGCCAACUUCUAGACACCUCUAUGCAACUGACCGGCAGAAGUUUGAUGUUCUAUUGUGUUUUGUAUUUAUUAUUCACUGCUGAUGAGCUCUAGGUCCCAUACUUUUAUUUUUCUAAGAACUGAUGUGCACUCCUACUGCUGGGGUGUGGUAUGUUUUUUCAGCCACUUGUCCAGCACUUCUUUCAUCUGAGGAGCAUUUGGCCCAUUUAUAGCAUACUGGAAGUAAUGGUGUCUUAGUGUUUUUACAGGCAGUUUCACUAUAUCUUUUUAUCUAAUUGUUAGUGACUUGAGCAAAAUUCUGCAGUUGGUUAGAUGUACUAAAUCUAUUGCCCCAGACAACAAAGGGACAGGACUGGAGCGAGGAAACAAAACACCGAGCGCUCGAUGUCGUGUUUUGUUUUCUCACUCCAGUCCUGUCCCUUCGUUUUGCACAAUAGCUUUAGCAUGACAUGUAUACCCUUGCCAUGCUAAGCACAUCAGUAUGUGAAAGUCACAUUGGUGUUGUUGACAAAGCUUGAAAUUCAUCAGAAGCCUUCCAGUAACUCAAAUUGUAAAGCCAUAGUUAUUCUUGUUCGAUUUCACUGCUAUGGCACUUUUGAUGUAUCUUUUUUCUGCAGUUCGGUAAUUUAGGCAUAUCUAUUUUCAACAGUUCUGGUAGAGGUUGACCAUGAUAUGUUAGCUUCUUUGACUUUUAAGUUGUGUCUCAGUGUCGGAAUGCUUUCAGCUUUUACAAUUCAUGUUUUCCUUUUGUGUGUGCAGAUCAAGCAGCCAGCACACUUGUAGUUUGUAAUCACGUAUGUGCAAAAGUACAAAGCAUUCAGGUUUCUUAUUAAGUUUCAUUUCUUUUGUAUGUUGGGUACCUCUGCAUUUUCAGCAAUUCGGUAGAAGUUGACUACACUAUGUUUUCUUCUUUCAUUUUUAAGCUAUGUCUCAGUGUCGUCAGAAUAUUGGAGGCCAUGUGCUUUAUUUGUCAUCAAUUGUGCGUUUUAGCUUUUAUGCAGCUUUUAUGCUUCCUGGUUGUCAUUUGUGCUUGCAGAGCAAGUGACUGGUCUGAGCAAAAGUACAAAGUCAGCAUUCAGGUUGCUUGUUAAGCUAUUUUAAAGUGGUUAUUUUGUUAUUUUUUAUUCUGUCUAGUGUUUGUUACAAUAAACGAAUGUAUCAUAGCUUACAUUGCCAAAAUUUGGCUGAAAUCUAUGGCUUGUGCAAUCUGUCGACUGAAGUACCGUCUGUGCCCUUACUAGUAUUGUAUUAAUUUGUGUACUGUUCCAUAUUGUAGUGUGUUUAUUUGCAGUUCUUGUGAAAGCAUUCAAUUUCUUUUUCACCUGCAACCAGCCCAAUUGUGCACUUGUGUGGGUUCCUCUCAAAGUGUAUUGAAACUACUGCAUUUUUACAAAAAGCAAACAUGUGAAAUGAUGCUACACAGGUACAAAUUAACUGUCUCCAGAUGCUUCCAAGAAUACUCAAAAUACUGAUGUCAUCAAUGUAAGUUAAAUCAACUGUUGCUACUUGCCAUAUUGUUGCCCAUUGUACUUUUUAGAAGUUCUAAUUAAGCUUUUCAUAUAAGUUCAGCGACUGAUGCUUCAUUAAAAAUUUCCUGAACGUGACAGAGAAGCAACAAUCAGUAUAUUACUCAUUAGCCAACUUUGUAACCUCAGUAGCUAACUUUUUAAUGUUUUAUCUCUAGCUUAGUAAACUAGGUUGGUUUCUGGACAUGUAUAGCAUUCUGUAUUCCCUGUUUCAG